rnacentral:rRNA from 1 species
UACGUAGGGUGCAAGCGUUGUCCGGAAUUAUUGGGCGUAAAGAGCUCGUAGGCGGUUCGUCGCGUCGGCUGUGAAAACCUGAGGCUCAACCUCAGGCCUGCAGUCGAUACGGGCGGACUUGAGUACUGCAGGGGAGACUGGAAUUCCUGGUGUAGCGGUGAAAUGCACAGAUAUCAGGAGGAACACCGGUGGCGAAGGCGGAUCUCUGGGCCGUAACUGACGCUGAGGAGCGAAAGCAUGGGGAGCGAACAGG